UUUUUUAGAGGAAAGCAACAUUGAAUUGUUUAACCUAACAUCUUCUUGGGUUGUUUUUAAAUAGUUCUUGACUAUUUUAAAUUUGCUAAAAAAUGAUCUUUCAUUGCCAGCGACGAUUACAAGUAACGAACAUGAUAACUUCUUCUUCUCCUUUUUAAGCUUUUGCAGUCCUUAUCCACGCUGUUUGUUAUUGUUACACUCUGAGUGCACUUGAUCGGAUCAUCAUUGACCUUGUCUGCUCAGUGCUGUCUAAAGCGACCUCUAAGUCUUUUUCCAUUCAUUUUUCCUUCCAGGAUCUUCCUUAAAAUACCAUUUGACCUCCAUAAAUGGCCUGCCCACUAAAUUCGCUUACUCAUAAAGUACGCAUUGAUAUUUGGUUUUUAUUAGAUUUGCUGCAAUUCGCUAUUAGUUCUUCUAUAAAUUUAAUUUUCCAGGAUAGGUGUAUAUAUCCUUCUAAGUACUCUUCUUUCAAAACAAGCCACUUUUUCUUCAUCUCCUUUAGUAAUCGACCGUGUUUCACACGCUAUGUUAAAACUGGUCGUUAGAAACACGAGUAUAAGAGUUCCUUUGAUCGUCUAGAGAAAAGCUCUUUGCUAUUCCUAGAUAUGGUAAAAUGUUUAAAAUAUUUGAAACAUUUUUGAACUUUUUACUUUUUUUUUAGUUUUACUAGUUUAUUUUUGUAUUUUUUUUAUACUCUGAUAAAAAUUUCUGCUAGAAUCAUUUCUGAAAGAAAAUAUUGUCUAGAAUCUAGACUCUAGAUGAUACUUUUAGGAAGUCAUUUUUUGAUUUUCCAAGUGGUUUUCGUAAUAUCUGGGAAGGUUAGGCUAGGCUAGGUUAAAACGGGAUAAAACGAAUAAAAUAUGGAUUAUUUACAAAAAUAAUGCUUU